rnacentral:rRNA from 1 species
AGUUUGAUCCUGGCUCAGGAUGAACGCUGACAGAAUGCUUAACACAUGCAAGUCGAUUCAAGUUACCUUCGGGUAAUGAGGAUGGCGGACGGGUGAGUAACGCGUAAGGAACUUGCCUCUUGGUCUGGGACAACUGUUGGAAACGACAGCUAAUACCGGAUAUUAUGAGAUUCUCGCAUGGGAAACUUAUGAAAGCUAUAUGCGCCAAGAGAGAGCCUUGCGUUCCAUUAGCUAGUUGGUGGGGUAAUGGCCCACCAAGGCGACGAUGGAUAGCCGGCCUGAGAGGGUGAACGGCCACAAGGGGACUGAGACACGGCCCUUACUCCUACGGGAGGCAGCAGUGGGGAAUAUUGGACAAUGGGCCACAAGCCUGAUCCAGCAAUUCUGUGUGCACGAUGAAGGUCUUCGGAUUGUAAAGUGCUUUCAGUUGGGAAGAAGAAAGUGACGGUACCAACAGAAGAAGCGACGGCUAAAUACGUGCCAGCAGCCNCGGUAAUACGUAUGUCGCAAGCGUUAUCCGGAUUUAUUGNGCGUAAAGCGCGUCUAGGCGGAAAAAUAAGUCUGAUGUUNAAAUGCGGGGCUCAACUCCGUAUUGCGUUGGAAANUGUUUUUCUAGAGUACUGGAGAGGUGGG